GGAAUAUUGGACAAUGGGCGAAAGCCUGAUCCAGCCAUGCCGCGUGUGUGAAGAAGGCCUUCGGGUCGUAAAGCACUUUAAGUUGGGAGGAAGGGCUCAUAGCGAAUACCUGUGAGUUUUGACGUUACCAACAGAAUAAGCACCGGCUAACUUCGUGCCAGCAGCCGCGGUAAUACGAAGGGUGCAAGCGUUAAUCGGAAUUACUGGGCGUAAAGCGCGCGUAGGUGGCUUGAUAAGUUGGAUGUGAAAUCCCCGGGCUCAACCUGGGAACUGCAUCCAAAACUGUCUGGCUAGAGUGCGGUAGAGGGUAGUGGAAUUUCCAGUGGAGCGGUGAAAUGCGUAGAGAUUGGAAGGAACACCAGUGGCGAAGGCGACUACCUGGACUGACACUGACACUGAGGUGCGAAAGCGUGGGGAGCAAACAGGA
rnacentral:misc_RNA from 1 species